AAUCAACGCUGGCGGCGUGCCUCAGACAUGCAAGUCGAACGAUUAAAGCUCUCUUCGGAGAGUGUAUAGAGUGGCGCACGGGUGAGUAACACGUAAGUAAUCUACCUUUGAGUGGGGAAUAACAAUCGGAAACGAUUGCUAAUACCGCAUAAUGCAGCGGCAUCGCAAGAUGACAGUUGUUAAAGGAGCAAUCCGCUUAAAGAGGAGCUUGCGGCAGAUUAGCUAGUUGGUAAGGUAAUGGCUUACCAAGGCUACGAUCUGUAACCGGUCUAAGAGGACGGUCGGUCACACUGACACUGAAUAACGGGUCAGACUCCUACGGGAGGCAGCAGUCGGGAAUUUUGGGC
rnacentral:rRNA from 1 species